AUGGGCUUAAGGAAAAGGAAAGCAGGGCCCGAGUGUGAUGUUGAAGGUAAGCUACUGCAACUAAAAUCAAUGGUGAAGAAGAGGGUGAUUGGAGGAUCGCGAGGAACAGGUGUAAGCGGAAGUAGCAUUAUGAACAGAAAGAGGAGCGAGAUGAAGGGCAAUGUUACGGUUGGGGUUCCAUGUGAAAUGAAGAUUGGGUGGCGGAUUUAA